AAUUAGGUUUCUACGAGGUUAAUUCGCCCUCGAAAAAUCCUAGGGCAAAAGCCCCAAAUUUGGUGCCCUAACCAAAUCCAUUGCUAAACCCUAGGUUUUGAUCUCUAAAACAAGCAAAAGAGAGCUUGUCUAGUCUCUAGAAGCUCAUUUAGAACCAUCCCAACCAUCUCUAGGGCUUAAAAUGCAAACCCUAGAAAUC
rnacentral:lncRNA from 1 species